rnacentral:rRNA from 1 species
ACGCCUAACACAUGCAAGUCGAGCGAGGUAGCAAUACCUAGCGGCAGACGGGUGAGUAACAUGUGGGAAUCUGCCUUUUGGUACGGAAUAACACGAGGAGACUUGUGCUAAUACCGGAUAAGCCCUUACGGGGAAAGUUUUAAUGCCAAAAGAUGAGCCCGCAUUUGAUUAGCUAGUUGGUAAGGUAAAAGCUUACCAAGGCGACAAUCAAUAGCUGAUUUGAGAGGAUGAUCAGCCACACUGGGACUGAGAUACGGCCCAGACUCC